AUACGGGGGCUUACCUGGAGGUGCGGAAAAGCCAAACCAAGAAGCCGCUGCCCCUGACAGGGCGUGAAGAAGCGGGCUGGCAGAAUUUUAGGUAUGAAUACAAUCUGGUACACUUGAGUGUUUCUCAACCUUGACAACUUUUAAGAAGUGUGAACUUCAAUUCCAAAAAUUCACCAGCCAGCAUGCCAAGCCAGUCCAAGAGGGGUAAACAAGACAACAAAUCGACCGAUCAAAGCCACAGUAAAUGCGAUCCGGACAGGAAAUCAGAUCACUAUGGUCAAAGCAGAAAUCUGGAAAUGUUAAUCUGGCUUCAUUUCUAGCUGGUAUAUGCAUGGGAGCCCAUCUGUUUAGGG